CGAACGCUGGCGGCGUGCUUAACACAUGCAAGUCGAACGGAAAGGCCCUGCUUUUGUGGGGUGCUCGAGUGGCGAACGGGUGAGUAACACGUGAGUAACCUGCCCUUGACUUUGGGAUAACUUCAGGAAACUGGGGCUAAUACCGGAUAGGAGCUCCUGCUGCAUGGUGGGGGUUGGAAAGUUUCGGCGGUUGGGGAUGGACUCGCGGCUUAUCAGCUUGUUGGUGGGGUAGUGGCUUACCAAGGCUUUGACGGGCAGCCGGCCUGAGAGGGUGACCGGCCACAUUGGGACUGAGAUACGGCCCAGACUCCUACGGGAGGCAGCAGUGGGGAAUAUUGCACAAUGGGCGGAAGCCUGAUGCAGCAACGCCGCGUGCGGGAUGACGGCCUUCGGGUUGUAAACCGCUUUCGCCUGUGACGAAGCGUGAGUGACGGUAAUGGGUAAAGAAGCACCGGCUAACUACGUG
rnacentral:rRNA from 1 species